rnacentral:rRNA from 1 species
UUGGAGGGCAAGUCUGGUGCCAGCAGCCGCGGUAAUUCCAGCUCCAAUAGCGUAUAUUAAAGUUGUUGCAGUUAAAAAGCUCGUAGUUGAAUUUCGGGAUCAAUACGUCGGUCGUGCUUUCGGGUACGUACUGGCGUCAUUGGUUUCUCCUUUCUGACGAACCAUGAUGUCAUUAAUUUGGUGUUAUGGGGAAUUAGGACUGUUACUUUGAAAAAAUUAGAGUGUUUAAAGCAGGCUUUAGCUUGAAUACAUUAGCAUGGAAUAAUGAAAUAGGACGUUUGAUCCUAUUUUGUUGGUUUCUAGGAUUGACGUAAUGAUUAAUAGGGAUAGUUGGGGGCAUUAGUAUUCAAUUGUCAGAGGUGAAAUUCUUGGAUUUAUUGAAGACUAACUACUGCGAAAGCAUUUGCCAAGGAUGUUUUCAUUAAUCAAGAACGAAAGUUAGGGGAUCGAAGACGAUCAGAUACCGUCGUAGUCUUAACCAUAAACUAUGCCGACUAGGGAUCGGAUGAUGUUAAUUUUUUAAUGACUCAUUCGGCGCCUUACGGGAAAC